rnacentral:rRNA from 1 species
UGCCAGCCGCCGCGGUAAUACGGAGGGAGCAAACGUUGUUCGGAUUUACUGGGUGUAAAGGGUGCGUAGGCGGCGAAGUGUGUCAGAGGUGAAAGCUCACGGCUCAACCGUGGAACUGCCAUUGAUACUGCGUGGCUGGAGUGCGGGAGGGGCAGACGGAAUUCCAGGUGGAGCGGUGAAAUGUGCAGAUAUCAGGAAGAACACCAGUGGCGAAGGCGGUCAUCUGGCUCGGUACUGACGCUGAGGCACGAAAGCUAGGGUAUCAAACGGGAUUAGAUA